rnacentral:rRNA from 1 species
GUGAAAUUCCGUCGGAAUCUGGGAGGACCAUCUCCUAAGGCUAAAUACUCUCUAGUGACCGAUAGUGAACCAGUACCGUGAGGGAAAGGUGAAAAGCACCCCGGAAGGGGAGUGAAAUAGAACCUGAAACCGUGUGCUUACAAGUAGUCAGAGCCCGUUAAUGGGUGAUGGCGUGCCUUUUGUAGAAUGAACCGGCGAGUUACGAUUUGAUGCAAGGUUAAGCAGUAAAUGUGGAGCCGUAGCGAAAGCGAGUCUGAAUAGGGCGUUUAGUAUUUGGUCGUAGACCCGAAACCAGGUGAUCUACCCUUGGUCAGGUUGAAGUUCAGGUAACACUGAAUGGAGGACCGAACCGACUUACGUUGAAAAGUGAGCGGAUGAACUGAGGGUAGCGGAGAAAUUCCAAUCGAACCUGGAGAUAGCUGGUUCUCUCCGAAAUAGCUUUAGGGCUAGCCUCAAGUGAUGAUUAUUGGAGGUAGAGCACUGUUUGGAUGAGGGGCCCCUCUCGGGUUACCGAAUUCAGACAAACUCCGAAUGCCAAUUAAUUUAACUUGGGAGUCAGAACAUGGGUGAUAAGGUCCGUGUUCGAAAGGGA